rnacentral:rRNA from 1 species
CACGGGGGGAGCAAGCGUUGUUCGGAUUCAUUGGGCGUAAAGAGCUCGUAGGCCGCUCUGUAAGUCGGAAGUGAAAGACCACGGCUCAACCGUGGAAGUGCACCCGAAACUGCGUAGCUAGAGUCCUGGAGAGGAAGGUGGAAUGCGCAGAUAUCAGGAAGAACACCGACGGCGAAGGCAGCUCGCUGGGACGGUACUGACGCUGAGGCGCGAAAGCGUGGGGAGCGAACAGG